rfam:Capsicum annuum cultivar Zunla-1 chromosome 8, whole genome shotgun sequence
GCCCUCAUCGUUUAGUGGUUUAGGACAUCUCUCUUUCAAGAAGGAAAUGGGGAUUCUAAUUCCCCCGGGGGUA